rnacentral:tRNA from 1 species
GCCGAGAUGGCUCAGUUGGCAGAGCGGCGCACUCGUAAUGCGCAGGUCCGCGGUUCGAUUCCGCGUCUCGGCU